rnacentral:rRNA from 1 species
UACGGGGGGAGCAAGCGUUGUUCGGAUUUACUGGGCGUAAAGGGCGCGUAGGCGGUCAGCACAAGUCAGUUGUGAAAUCUCCGGGCUUAACUCGGAAAGGUCAACUGAUACUGUGCGACUAGAGUGCGGAAGGGGCAACUGGAAUUCUCGGUGUAGCGGUGAAAUGCGUAGAUAUCGGGAGGAACACCAGUAGCGAAGGCGACACUCUGGGCCGGUACUGACGCUGAGGAGCGAAAGCGUGGGGAGCAAACAGG